UUGGAGGGCAAGUCUGGUGCCAGCAGCCGCGGUAAUUCCAGCUCCAAUAGCGUAUAUUAAAGUUGUUGCAGUUAAAAAGCUCGUAGUUGAACCUUGGGCCUGGCUGGCCGGUCCGCCUCACCGCGUGCACUGGUUCGGCCGGGCCUUUCCCUCUGGGGAGCCUCAUGCCCUUCACUGGGUGCGUUGGGGAACCAGGACUUUUACUGUGAAAAAAUUAGAGUGUUCAAAGCAGGCCUAUGCUCGAAUACAUUAGCAUGGAAUAAUAGAAUAGGACGUGUGGUUCUAUUUUGUUGGUUUCUAGGACCGCCGUAAUGAUUAAUAGGGACAGUCGGGGGCAUUAGUAUUCAAUUGUCAGAGGUGAAAUUCUUGGAUUUAUUGAAGACUAACUACUGCGAAAGCAUUUGCCAAGGAUGUUUUCAUUAAUCAGGAACGAAAGUUAAGGGAUCGAAGACGAUCAGAUACCGUCGUAGUCUUAACCAUAAACUAUGCCGACUAGGGAUCGGACGGUGUUAUUUUUUGACCCGUUCGGCGCCUUACGGGAAAC
rnacentral:rRNA from 1 species